rnacentral:rRNA from 1 species
CGUGAGCAACCUGCCCUUGGCUCUGGGAUAGCCUCCGGAAGCGGGGAUUAAUACCGGACAUGACUUCAGUCUGCAUGGACUGGGGUGGAAAGUUUUUCGGCCAGGGAGGGGCUCGCGGCCUAUCAGCUUGUUGGAGGGGUAACGGCCCACCAAGGCGACGACGGGUAGCCGGCCUGAGAGGGCGACCGGCCACACUGGGACUGAGACACGGCCCAGACUCCUACGGGAGGCAGCAGUGGGGAAUAUUGCACAAUGGGGGAAACCCUGAUGCAGCGACGCCGCGUGCGGGAUGAAGGCCUUCGGGUUGUAAACCGCUUUCAGCAGGGACGAAGCGAGAGUGACGGUACCUGCAGAAGAAGCGCCGGCUAACUACGUGCCAGCAGCCGCGGUAAUACGUAGGGCGCAAGCGUUGUCCGGAAUUAUUGGGCGUAAAGAGCUCGUAGGCGGCCUGUUGCGUCUGCUGUGAAAUCCCGGGGCUUAACCCCGGGCCUGCAGUGGAUACGGGCAGGCUGGAGGCAGGCAGGGGAGAACGGAAUUCCCGGUGUAGCGGUGAAAUGCGCAGAUAUCGGGAGGAACACCGGUGGCGAAGGCGGUUCUCUGGGCCUGUACUGACGCUGAGGAGCGAAAGCGUGGGGAGCGAACAGGAUUAGAUACCCUGGUAGUCCACGCCGUAAACGUUGGGCGCUAGGUGUGGGUCCCUUCCGCGGGGUCUGUGCCGCAGCUAACGCAUUAAGCGCCCCGCCUGGGGAGUACGGCCGCAAGGCUAAAACUCAAAGAAAUUGACGGGGGCCCGCACAAGCGGCGGAGCAUGUUGCUUAAU